UGAGUGCUCAUUUCAAAGGGGAUCUCAUUCUUUGGGUUCUAUUUUGAUUAAGGAAAUAAGAAACAGAUGUUUUAUGUGCCCACCGACUGACCUUAGGAUGCAUUCGGGAGUCUGAAAAGAUUUGCUGAAAAUAACAGUUCCAAACUUCUCCAUUGGUGUUGCCGGUCUUUCACUGCCCAAAACACUGACUGUAAUUAGAACAAGUGGACCAGGAGCUAUUGUUCUUUCACAGAAGAGGAAGGUUGUGCCACCUUUGAACAUCAUUAUGUCAUCUGCAAGACAAGAACAUUUACUGAGUUCACCCAAGACAAUAGAUCCAGAAGAAUGGUUGAUUUGUUUUGUUAAAAUAUAUGAUCCUCACAGGUAUAGCUACUAAGGAAAGGAAGAUGAAUGGAACAGAAAUGAGAUAAGAAGAACUUUGCCACUGAGCCAGGCCAGGUAGUGUGACUAGAAAACUGUGAGGUUCAACACUGCCAAGGACUCCCUUUGUCCCCAUGGGAAUUUCCUGUGCAACUGGGCCAUUCAGCUUUCACUUCCUGAAUGACACAAACUUGGAUUGCAUAACCCUGUUCAUUGAGUGCACAUUAAAUGUGCACACUAGUCCAAUGCUG
rnacentral:lncRNA from 1 species